UACGUAGGUGGCAAGCGUUAUCCGGAAUUAUUGGGCGUAAAGCGCGCGCAGGCGGUUUCUUAAGUCUGAUGUGAAAGCCCACGGCUCAACCGUGGAGGGUCAUUGGAAACUGGGGGACUUGAGUGCAGAAGAGGAAAGCGGAAUUCCACGUGUAGCGGUGAAAUGCGUAGAGAUGUGGAGGAACACCAGUGGCGAAGGCGGCUUUCUGGUCUGUAACUGACGCUGAGGCGCGAAAGCGUGGGGAGCAAACAGG
rnacentral:rRNA from 1 species